UACAGAGGGGGCGAGCGUUAUUCGGAAUUAUUGGGCGUAAAGGGCGCGUAGGCGGCCUUUCAAGUGACGGGUGAAAUCCCUCGGCUUAACCGAGGAACUGCCUGUCAGACUGGAAGGCUUGAGACCGGGAGAGGUGAGUGGAACUGCGAGUGUAGAGGUGAAAUUCGUAGAUAUUCGCAAGAACACCAGUGGCGAAGGCGGCUCACUGGCCCGAGUACUGACGCUGAGGCACGAAAGCGUGGGGAGCAAACAGG
rnacentral:rRNA from 1 species